ACUGGAUAGGUGGGAAACGUUGGAUGUGGAGGCCGGAGGAGCUACCGUUCUGGUAGAGACGAAGGAAGCUGCAGCCAGUUCGCGUGGCCAACCGUUGAAAAUAACUUUCAAGUGAUUUCUCGGUGUCUAGAGGAACCCGGGCUUUUUAAGAACUUCUUGGAGCUUUUGCUUUGAACAAGGGGUGUCAGAGAAGUCCAACAUCUUUUUAUAUAAUCGUGGUACUGUUACUGUAGCCCUUAUGGCUGGUCGUUCCAAUUUGAGUCAGAAUCUUGAUGUCUGAGUCACUUUGGUAUCAGAGCACGAAGAAUUUCAUCACAUCACCAGUGUGUACAGUACACAUACUUGUACGCUCAGCGAGAGCUACAAAAUACGUACUGUACAAGAAUGCGGUACGCUUGGAAGAUGUUCUUCUCAUUGUGGUUUGAAAGAGCUGCUUCACAUUGACUUAUUGCAAGAAGUUGAUGCGAGGCACGUCUAUUCAGCAUCUUUUGUUCCAUAACUGUCAUUGUCAAGUCAUUGUCAAGUGACGUUGAACUAGUUUGUUAUCGAUGGUUGAAGGUGACUCCCAUAUGUUUUGCAUUAGCAAAUAAGUUGCAAAACAAAACAAAACAAAGGCAAUAACUUUCCCUUCGCAUUCUAUCUACACAAUCAAUCUAUUUAAACGCCC
rnacentral:misc_RNA from 1 species